UACGUAGGGUGCAAGCGUUGUCCGGAAUUAUUGGGCGUAAAGAGCUCGUAGGCGGUUUGUUGCGUCGGCUGUGAAAUCCCGAGGCUCAACCUCGGGUCUGCAGUCGAUACGAGCAAACUAGAGUGUUGCAGGGGAGACUGGAAUUCCUGGUGUAGCGGUGAAAUGCGCAGAUAUCAGGAGGAACACCGGUGGCGAAGGCAAGGUGCUGGACCCUCUCUGACGCUGAGGCGCGAAAGCCAGGGGAGCGAACGGG
rnacentral:rRNA from 1 species